CAGGUUGUCUUGGGCAAGACUCUGCCUGGGAUUCCACAGAACAAGAUAUUGUGCAAAUCCAGUCCCUAAGGAUUUGACCCUACUUCCCUUUUACUAUUCUUUUUCAUUAUUUAUUAGGGAUAGGAUAUUUUUGGUGCUUUCAACGACCGCAUCAAAGUGGUUAAAUGGUAUGUGUGAUGUAUGUAUAAGAUAUGGAUUUGUGACAUUGAGUUGGACUAUUUUGGUAUGUGAACUGUGGUGCCACUUGAUGGCAUAUUAUUGAGGCACAUAGGAUGAAUGAUUUUGGCAUGUUUUAUGUGUUUUUAAAUGGGUUUGAACCAUGUGAAUG
rnacentral:lncRNA from 1 species